GGCGUAUUCGCCAAGCGCCUGUGCCAGGGCCAGCUCGCCCCUCACCGGGCACAGCCCAACAAGCUGGAGCGCGAGCGCAUCUGCCAGCUGCUCGACACCCGCCGCUUCCUCCAGGAUAAGGGCGCACAGGAUGAAUCCGAGGCUGGACAGAGAGAAGCUGCAGGCCCACCUACGGGAUGGCCACCCUGAGCCUGAGUACCAGAUCUGUCUGUGCUUUGGUGAAGAGUACCCAAGCCCUCAGGAUCAGCUAGAGGAGCGACUCAUCAUGGUCCAUGGCUCCUGCCAACUAUCCCCUCCAGAGACCCAUCCUGGCUCUAGGACCUGGAACACUCUUCAAGGACUCAGCCUUGACAGGCCAAGGACAACAGGACUGGAAGGAAGGAGUGAAGCAGCGAGUACUCAGCAGACAAACUUGGGGUGAGGGGAAGCGGGGUCCUCGGGGAUUUCCUUUGUGGCUCUCAAGGCCAAUAAAGGCAGUGUGGU